GGGCCGGACAGCCGCGCGGGACGGUCGAAAGGCCCACCGUGAGGAAAGUCCGGGCUCCACAGGGCAAGGAUAACGGGUAACGCCCGCCGAAGGCGACUUCAGGAAAAGUGCAACAGAAAGAAACCGCUUUGCCUGCGCAGCAGCGCGGACAGAGCAAGGGUGGAAAAGUGAGGUAAGAGCUCACUCGCCGGCUGGAGACUGUCCGGUGCUGUAAACUCUAUCCGGAGCAACACCGUGGAGGAGACAUUGGCUGGCCCGGCCGUCUCCGGGGAGGUGGCAUGGAGCGUGCCGGCAACGGUACGACAAGAUAGAUGGCUGUCUAAGACAGAACCCGGCUUACAGACCCGAU
rnacentral:RNase_P_RNA from 1 species